AACGAACGCUGGCGGCAGCCUAACACAUGCAAGUCGAGCGAGGACUUCGGUCCUAGCGGCGGACGGGUGAGUAACGCGUGGGAACGUGCCCUUUGCUACGGAAUAGCCCCGGGAAACUGGGAGUAAUACCGUAUGUGCCCGAGAGGGGAAAGAUUUAUCGGCAAAGGAUCGGCCCGCGUUGGAUUAGGUAGUUGGUGGGGUAAUGGCCUACCAAGCCGACGAUCCAUAGCUGGUUUGAGAGGAUGAUCAGCCACACUGGGACUGAGACACGGCCCAGACUCCUACGGGAGGCAGCAGUGGGGAAUCUUAGACAAUGGGGGAAACUCUGAUCUAGCCAUGCCGCGUGAUCGAUGAAGGCCUUAGGGUUGUAAAGAUCUUUCAGUGGGGAAGAUAAUGACUGUACCCACAGAAGAAGCCCCGGCUAACUCCGUGCCAGCAGCCGCAGUAACAC
rnacentral:rRNA from 1 species